CCCUCCACUCUCCGGAGCUGAGCAUCUUAUAUUCGUUGAGAUAAAGUUUUUUCUCUGCAAGGGGUUUGUGCAGUAAACCCCUACAGGCGGUCGUCCGUCAUAGUAAGGUAGUCCCCGUGAAACUUCAGGAAGAGGGGUAGUCUUGUAACCAAGAAUUGAUAAGUUACGAAAUGGAUCAAUCACUUCUUCCCUUCAUUUUCAUCUCCUUCUGAGCUCUCCUUCGUUCUUUCAUUUUUUAUUGACUCUUGACCCUACUAAGUAAAGGAGGAGAAGAUAGAGAGAAGAAAAAAGUAGCAAGGAAUAAUAGCUAAAGAAAUAGUGGGGCCAACAUCAGUACAUUUUUAUCUGGUAAAGGAGAAUUUUAUUGUAGAGGACAAGAGGACCUCAAGGCAUCUUAAUUACAAGUAUCAAGAAACCAAGAAGAGAAAACGGGCCAAUCUGUCUUACUUGCCAUAGGCAGGGCCUUCCAGUCUAUAGUAUGAACAAUCAAACAGCUAAUGCAUUACGUCGCCAGAUAUCGAAUGUCCUCAAUGAUACCAGCAACAUUUUGAGGAAGCGCUAAAACUGGAUUGUCAAGGAGAGAUACCAAGGUUGACUUAUUAGAUUCCACCAAAGAGGGGGAAGCCCCUCCAGAGGAUACAUUUAUUAUCAUUAAGCAAGGAAAUUUUUUGAUCGUAAGAAUUGGAGAUACAAUGGUGGCAACUUCAACACAUUUGAUAUCAUCAAUCAAGGUCAAGAGGGUCCAAAUGCUCCUAAAGGUGUCUAGGGGAUGGACCAAGCAGCUACUACAUUAGAACUUCUUCAGGUGAUGGCAGAUGUCAAGGAAGAAAAGAGAUUGUGGAGAAUGCUGACAUGAGAAAGCUAAGGAAGAACAUAUGGUGGAGGAUCCAAAAAAGAUGCGGAGAAAGAGACCGUCAAGAAUGCCAAAGGAGCUAAGACAGAAAAGACGGAGCAUAUCAGAGAAAAAACCACAAAGAAAAGGAAGAAAGCUAUCUAGCGAGUUUUGGAAAUAUGUGGGCCUGACGAAAGUUGCGGUAAUUAACUUUUUGAUAUUAAAUUA